rnacentral:rRNA from 1 species
GCAGGCCUAACACAUGCAAGUCGAGCGCCCCGCAAGGGGAGCGGCAGACGGGAGAGUAACACGUGGGAACAUACCCUUCAGUUCGGAACAACCCAGGGAAACUUGGGCUAAUACCGAAUACGUCCGUAAGGAGAAAGAUUUAUCGCUGAAGGAUUGGCCCGCGUCCGAUUAGCUAGUUGGUGAGGUAACGGCUCACCAAGGCGACGAUCGGUAGCUGGUCUGAGAGGAUGAUCAGCCUCACUGGGACUGAGACACGGCCCAUACUCCUACGGGAGGCAGCAGUGGGGAAUAUUGGACAAUGGGCGCAAGCCUGAUCCAGCCAUGCCGCGUGGAUGAUGAAGGCCCUAGGGUUGUAAAGUCCUUUCGGCGGGGAAGAUAAUGACGGUACCCGCAGAAGAAGCCCCGGCUAACUUCGUGCCAGCAGCCGCGGUAAUACGAANGGGGCUAGCGUUGCUCGGAAUCACUGGGCGUAAAGCGCACGU